rnacentral:rRNA from 1 species
AUUGAACGCUGGCGGCAGGCCUAACACAUGCAAGUCGAGCGGAUGAAGGGAGCUUGCUCCUGGAUUCAGCGGCGGACGGGUGAGUAAUGCCUAGGAAUCUGCCUGGUAGUGGGGGAUAACGUCCGGAAACGGGCGCUAAUACCGCAUACGUCCUGAGGGAGAAGGUGGGGGAUCUUCGGACCUCACGCUAUCAGAUGAGCCUAGGUCGGAUUAGCUAGUUGGUGGGGUAAAGGCCUACCAAGGCGACGAUCCGUAACUGGUCUGAGAGGAUGAUAAGUCACACUGGAACUGAGACACGGACCAGACUCCUACGGGAGGCAGCAGUGGGGAAUAUUGGACAAUGGGCGAAAGCCUGAUCCAGCCAUGCCGCGUGUGUGAAGAAGGUCUUCGGAUUGUAAAGCACGUUAAGUUGGGAGGAAGGGCAGUAAGUUAAUACCUUGCUGUUUUGACGUUACCAACAGAAUAAGCACCGGCUAACUUCGUG